CCAAAUUCCCCCUCCCGCUCACCCAAAUUCUCCCUCCCUCUUUCCUAGUUCCCUCUAAAUUAUAUUUUUCCAUUAAAUCACAUUCCCGCUCCCUAACCCUAUUAACCUCGGAUGCAUGCCCAUUUCUCCCUCUCGUUUCUUCAGCGAAACUAUUUUUUUUAGGGUUUAGUUUCGUUCUUUCGCUUUCUUUGUAAGUUGUGAAGUAUCCAACUGCGAAGUGCGACAAUCAGAAGGCAACCCUAUAAUUCUUAAUUUUUGAGGAAUUGUGAAUGAUUAGAAGUAACAGAGUUGCAGUGGAACUCUCAUGGCCUAUUCAGACUUCUAGGCUUCAUUCUCAGAAUCCAAUGCAGUGAAAUCUAGUCACUUUCCACUAUAUGGGUAGUCUGGACGUUGUAUUGACAACACAUACCUGCAAGGUUCUCCUGUAAACAUUCAGAUAGGCACUGAAGUAUUGGUCCCAGCCUUGCAGGUUUUGAGAAAGGAAUUAGAGACAUGAGACCCUGGGGACAAAAAGAGGAUAAUCAUACCUCCAGAACUAGGACCUCCGAUUUAAUUGGAAUCAAGUAAGUUCGUGAAAAAGCUAGGAGAAAGAUCAAUGUUGUCUAUGGAAACAAAAAUGAUAUUAGAGAUGUCCGUUGGUGAUGGGAGGUCAGUUAAUGCAAUUCCAUAGCAAAGCUAUCAAAUGAGUUGAGAAUAAUUGCUCGAAAUUUUCCUUCGCUUCAAACAAGUAGAAGGAACUCACAGGAGAGGAGAAAGCACAAUGAUUAGAUGGACAUUGUAUUUUUCAAGACAAUCACAUUUUUGUCAUAGAAGAUAUUAGUUAGUCACAAAUUUGACUGUAUUUGCGACAAAACAUAGUCUUUAUCCCUGGAAUAUUGCCUACUAAUCUAUAAUAUAAUUCAUUCUUUGACUACAA